rnacentral:lncRNA from 1 species
CUGCUGCUGCUGCUGCAUGCGGAUCGAUGCCUUGAAUAAAGGAGAUGGGUGCUGCCGGGUUUCAGUUCUGAGUUAAAAGUGUCGAUACAAGGCAGCAGUAGUUUGUGUGAGUGGCUUUCUUUUCUUCUUCAUGCAGUCAAGAAGGCAUGGGCCAUGGAAUAAACGUGUUGGUGUAGGGUGAGAAGGCAGUACGUCUGCAUGUCUUUGUUGCCUUCUUACUGCGUCUAAUGAUUCCACUCUCUUCCCAACAAUUCCUCUCCUACUUAUGUGGCUUGUAUGCUCUUAAUUGUAUCAACUGCGGCGCAAUCUAUACGUAGCCCAUUGUUCAUUAAAAG